GAAACGCCCGGUCCCAUUCCGAACCCGGAAGCUAAGCCUGCCCGCGCUGAUGGUACUGCACUCGGGAGGGUGUGGGAGAGUAAGUUACCGCCGACA
rnacentral:rRNA from 1 species